rnacentral:lncRNA from 1 species
UCGGGCCCAGGACUGGUGAAGCCUUCGGAGACCCUGUCCCUCACCUGCGUUGUCUCUGGUGGCUCCAUCAGCAGUAGUAACUGGUGGAGCUGGGUCCGCCAGCCCCCAGGGAAGGGGCUGGAGUGGAUUGGGGAAAUCUAUCAUAGUGGGAGCCCCAACUACAACCCGUCCCUCAAGAGUCGAGUCACCAUAUCAGUAGACAAGUCCAAGAACCAGUUCUCCCUGAAGCUGAGCUCUGUGACCGCCGCGGACAGGGCCGUGUAUUACUGUGCGAGAGACACAGUGAGGGGAGGUGAGUGUGAGCCCAGACACAAAC